AGGAUUCUCCUGCCUCAGCCUCCCAAGUAGCUGGGAUUACAGUUUCCAUCAUUAUCUUCUAUGGAGUUCUUCAUUCCCACAUCUGUGGACCUUAAAAUCCUACCGUUGAGUGCCUGCCUUGGAUCAGCAGUCAGUUCGUUACCUUGGUUCUCAGACGAUGCUUGCAACAACGCCAUGCGAUUCGCCCACUCUUGGAGAAAAUAAGAGAAGUAUCCCUGAAGGAUGAAAUAUCCUCGAAUAUGAAAAGGUCUGCUCUCUGAAGACCAACUGUCUCAGUCUGCUUUUUGCUGCUGUAACAGAAUACCACAGACUUGUAGGCAGAGAAGCCUUCAGAGAAGGAUCCUGACUCGGUGGUUUGUGCAGUGACAUUUGGCAGUGUUUUCUCGGCAAGCGAGUCUUUGAGGCUGCCCUCAUGCUGCUCAGUGGGCACACCAAGAACAAGAGCUGGCCAGGGAUGACGGACGCAUCUAGGCCUUCUCGGCCUAAGG
rnacentral:lncRNA from 1 species